rnacentral:tRNA from 1 species
GUGGUGGCUCAGAGGUAGAGUACUUGCCUGGCACGUGUGAGGCCCUGGGUUCAAUUCUCAGCACCACA